rnacentral:lncRNA from 1 species
ACAUCUCAACUUCGUUCCAUUUGUUUCUCAUUUGAAACCUUCACAACUCUUAUAUCACAACUCAAUUUUGUUUUUCACUAUUUUUCUUCCAAGCAAGCAUUCAUUUUUAUUUUCUCUAUUUUUUUUUCUUUUUCUACAUUGUAUUCACAAAAUAGAUGUUUCUCUUUUCUAAUUUUUUUCAAUGCUUGCUCGGUUGUUCAAGAGUUGUGGCACCUACCGAUUCUCAUUUUCGUUCUCCCCAACUUAUCUUUUACUCACCCUAAGUGAAUGCUCUUGACUUUUUACGGCAAAAGAGCAAUUAUCAAGAAUUUCAGGGUUUCAAGAAAAAAGAUUUUUGACAUCUCGCCUUAU